UACGUAGGGUGCAAGCGUUGUCCGGAAUUAUUGGGCGUAAAGAGCUCGUAGGCGGUUUGUCGCGUCUGCUGUGAAAACUCGGGGCUUAACCCCGGGCCUGCAGUGGGUACGGGCAGACUAGAGUGCGGUAGGGGAGACUGGAAUUCCUGGUGUAGCGGUGAAAUGCGCAGAUAUCAGGAGGAACACCAACGGCGAAGGCAGCACUCUGGGCCGAUACUGACGCUGAGGAGCGAAAGCGUGGGGAGCAAACAGG
rnacentral:rRNA from 1 species